UUGACCCUACGGGAGGCAGCAGUGAGGAAUAUUGGUCAAUGGCCGGAAGGCUGAACCAGCCAAGCCGCGUGAGGGAGGAAGGCGCAGAGCGUCGCAGACCUCUUUUGCCGGGGGACAAAAGGCCGGACUCGUCCGGUCCUGAGGGUACCCGGAGAAAAAGCAUCGGCUAACUCCGUGCCAGCAGCCGCGGUAAUACGGAGGAUCCGAGCGUUAUCCGGAUUUAUUGGGUUUAAAGGGAGCGUAGGUGGACAGUUAAGUCAGUUGUGAAAGUUUGCGGCUCAACCGUAAAAUUGCAGUUGAUACUG
rnacentral:rRNA from 1 species